AGCUUUGCACAGUGGCAGUAUCAUGGCCAAUGAGGGUUAUCAGAGGCUCGAUUAUUGCUAAUUGAAAACAAAAAUUCUUUGCUUACUUGUCUGCUACAUUCUUGCCUUAGAAUAAAUGUUACUUAUUUUUUGAGUGCAACAGUUAC